GCGCAGCAGUCGCGAAACCUUCGCAAUGCGCGAAAGCGCGACGAGGGGACUCCGAGUGCCUAUGCUCAGCAUAGGCUGUUCACCGGUGUAAAAGCCGGUGGAGGAAGGGGUGGACAAGACUGGUGCCAGCCGCCGCGGUAAUACCAGCGCCCCAAGUGGUGAUCGAUAUUAUUGGGUCUAAAACGUCCGUAGCCGGCCCGGUAAAUCUCCGGGUAAAUCGUCCAGCUUAACUGGUCGAAUUCUGGGGAGACUGCCGGGCUUGGGGACCGGGAGAGGUCGGAGGUACUCCAGGGGUAAGGGUGAAAUCCUGUAAUCCCUGGGGGACCACCGGUGGCGAAGGCGUCCGACUAGAACGGGUCCGACGGUAAGGGACGAAGGCUAGGGGAGCAAACGGGAUUAGAUACCCCGGUAGU
rnacentral:rRNA from 1 species